rnacentral:rRNA from 1 species
UCCGAGUGGUGUGGAUGUUUAUUGGGCCCAAAGCAUCCGUAGCUGGCUAGGUCAGUCCCUUGUUAAAUCCACCGAAUUAAUCGUUGGAUUGCGGGGGAUACUGCUUGGCUAGGGGACGAGAGAGGCAGACGGUAUUUUCGGGGUAGGGGUGAAAUCCUAUAAUCCCGAGAAGACCACCAGUGGCGAAGGCUGUCUGCUAGAACGCGCCCGACGGUGAGGGAUGAAAGCUGGGGGAGCGAACCGGAUUAGAUACCCGGGUAGUCCCAGCUGUAAACGAUGCAGGCUAGGUGUUUGGACGGCCACGUGCCGUUCUAGUGCCGCAGGGAAGCUGUUAAGCCUGCCGCCUGGGGAGUACGAUCGCAAGAUUGAAACUUAAAGGAAUUGGCGGGGGAGCACCACAAGGGGUGAAGCUUGCGGUUUAAUUGGAGUCAACGCCGGAAAUCUCACCGGGAGCGACAGCAGUGUGAAGGCCAGAUUAAAGGUCUUGCCAGACGAGCUGAGA